UGGGGAAUAUUGGACAAUGGGGGCAACCCUGAUCCAGCAAUGCCGCGUGUGUGAAGAAGGUCUUCGGAUUGUAAAGCACUUUCGACGGGGACGAUGAUGACGGUACCCGUAGAAGAAGCCCCGGCUAACUUCGUGCCAGCAGCCGCGGUAAUACGAAGGGGGCUAGCGUUGCUCGGAAUGACUGGGCGUAAAGGGCGUGUAGGCGGUUUGUACAGUCAGAUGUGAAAUCCCCGGGCUUAACCUGGGAGCUGCAUUUGAUACGUGCAGACUAGAGUGUGAGAGAGGGUUGUGGAAUUCCCAGUGUAGAGGUGAAAUUCGUAGAUAUUGGGAAGAACACCGGUGGCGAAGGCGGCAACCUGGCUCAUUACUGACGCUGAGGCGCGAAAGCGUGGGGAGCAAACAGG
rnacentral:rRNA from 3 species